CCAGUCGGCCGGAUGACCGCCUGGGGGUUCCAGCUGUCAAAGCCGGGUCUCUCGGGAGGAAAGUCCGGGCUCCAUGGAACAACGGUGCCGGGUAACGCCCGGCGGGGGCAACCCCAGGGACAGUGCCACAGAAAGCAAACCGCCACGCCUUGGCGAGGUAAGGGUGAAAGGGUGCGGUAAGAGCGCACCGCGGGCCUGGCAACAGGACCGGCACGGUAAACCCCACCGGGAGCAAGACCGAAUAGGGACGGCCGGGAUCGUUAUGGAUCCGCAUCGGUUUCAGAUUGCCGUCCGGGUUGGUCGCGCGAGGUGCAUGGCGACAUGCAUCCCAGAUGAAUGGUCAUCCAGCGAAGGCUCGCCUUCGUGGACAGAACCCGGCUUACAGGCCGGCUGGCAAA
rnacentral:RNase_P_RNA from 1 species